rnacentral:lncRNA from 1 species
UUUUUUUUUUUUUUUUGAGAGAGACUCUUGCUCUGUCACCCAGGCUGGAGUGCAGUGGCGUGACUGUAGCUCACUGUAACCUCAAACUCCUGGGCUUAAGCAGAUCUCCCACUUCAGCCUCCCAAGUAGCUGGGACUAUAGGUGUGCACCACCAUGCCUAGCUACCUUUAAAAUUUUUUCAUAGAGAUGGGAUCUUGCUAUAUUGCCCAGGCUGGUCUCAAACUCCUGACCUCAAGUGAUCCUUCUGCCCUCAGCCUCCCAAAGCACUAGGAAUAUAGACGUUAGCUACCGCAUCCAGCCAAAGCUGACAUUUUGGUUGUCAUCUACCUAGCUUAUUUGCCAAUCUCUCAUCUGGUUCAGAGCUGCAGGAGAGAACAUCAUAAAGUGUAAUUCACUGGGACUCUUCAUGGGACUCUUCAAUGCCAACAGUCACUUUAAUAUCACUGGAACCUCCCUCUCUGCCUCAGGCUAGUCCAGGCAAACACGCAGUAGGGCACUGGGAUUAGGAGCACUGGCCCAUUGUUAGUGCACGGGGACUCCCCAUUUACACCUGCUAGGAGAAAAUGGCCCUAGCCGCCUUAGGUGGAGGCAGCAGAGUGUUGGCUCAGGUGUCUGACCAGCAUAGGUGGUGCUGAACGCAGGGGCUCAGAUGAUUCGCUCAGGACCAGUUCCUCUCUUCCCAUUGCUUGGUUUCUUUCUUCUGUGUUGACCACACCCUCAGGCAGGCUCUCCCCUUAGAGUGGCUGCCAGCAGCAACCAGACUCUAUAUUACAAGUUGAAAUCCUACUGAGAACAGCAGGGAGUCUUUUUUUCUAAGCAUCCCAGCAGUGCUGUGAUUCUAUGGCCUGGGGUGUGUCUGUCUCCUGAACCAAUGAUUAAUCAGAACCAAAACCAUCUUCCCCGUACUUGUCCUGGGCACUGAGAAUGGAAAUUACACCUCACGGUCUAGAGUAACAUGACCUGCUUAUGUCACUGUCUUCAUUUGCAUUUCUCUACUCUGCUGGGACUGUCCUGCCCAAGCAAAUGGUUCAACCGUUCAUUGCAGCAACUUCCAGGAAGAUCUAUCAGCUCUUCAGUGGAAAGCAUCAACAGUUUGAACCCUAAGAUUCUUUGAAUGUUGUGGUUCAAAAUCCUAGCCUGCUUUUCCCACCAAUCCAGGACUGUUGUACUGUGAUCUCUGCCCUGUCUGAAGCAAACCAACUCUUCCUCCCACAGACUCGCUUUAAACCAAACUUCCAGUUCUCCAUACAUCCCGAGCUUAUCUUUCACUUCUGCUGGAAGCAAUAAGCUCAGCUUUGUCUUAUCCACUGGUCGUGAUGGUAAUGUCUGGGGAGCCCACUUCUGACACGAAGAUGGUAGAAUCCCCCAAUGGGAAGGGGGCUGAGCCCACGAAGAACUCUUGUAAGUGCCAACGACAGGGUCAGCUUCAAAUAUGUCC